rnacentral:rRNA from 1 species
GGACCUGACUGCUAUCGGAUUGAUACUAAGCCAUGUGAGUCAUUGUAGCAAUACAAGGCAGACGGCUCAGUAACGCGUAGUCAACCUACCCUAUGGACGGGAAUAAACUCGGGAAACUGAGUAUAAUGCCCGAUAGAACAUUAUGCCUGGAAUGGUUUAUGUUUCAAAUGAUUUAUCGCCGUAGGAUGGGACUGCGGCCUAUCAGUUUGUUGGUGAGGUAAUGGCCCACCAAGACUAUUACAGGUACGGGCUCUGAGAGGAGUGGCCCGGAGAUGGGUACUGAGACACGGACCCAGGCCCUAUGGGGCGCAGCAGGCGAGAAAACUUUGCAAUGUGCGAAAGCACGACAAGGUUAAUCCGAGUGGUUUCUGCUAAAGGAACCUUUUGUCAGUCCUAGAAACACUGGUGAAUAAGGGGUGGGCAAGUUCUGGUGU